rnacentral:rRNA from 1 species
UGGGGAAUCUUGCGCAAUGGGCGAAAGCCUGACGCAGCGACGCCGCGUGCGGGAUGAAGGCCUUCGGGUUGUAAACCGCUUUCAGCAGGGACGAAACUGACGGUACCUGCAGAAGAAGCCCCGGCCAACUACGUGCCAGCAGCCGCGGUAAUACGUAGGGGGCAAGCGUUGUCCGGAAUUAUUGGGCGUAAAGAGCUCGUAGGCGGUUUGGUAAGUCGGGUGUGAAAUCUCCAGGCUCAACCUGGAGGGGCCACUCGAUACUGCCAUGACUUGAGUCCGGUAGAGGAGCGUGGAAUUCCCGGUGUAGCGGUGAAAUGCGCAGAUAUCGGGAGGAACACCAGUAGCGAAGGCGGCGCUCUGGGCCGGUACUGACGCUGAGGAGCGAAAGCGUGGGGGAGCGAACAGGAUUAGAGACCCCGGUAG